UUGCGUAGGCGGUAAUUUGUGUCAAAACUUAAAUCUUCCAGCCUAACUGGAAAUCAGGUUUUGAAACUGAAUUACUUGAGUAUCAGAGGGAUUGCCGGAACUUGCAGUGGAGCGGUGAAAUGCGUUGAGAUUGCAAGGAACACCAAUAGCGUAGGCAGGCAAUUGGCUGAUUACUGACGCUGAUGCACGAAAGCUAGGGGAGCGAAAGGGAUUAGAGACCCCUGUAGUCCUAGCCGUAAACGAUGGACACUAGCUGAUUGCUUUUUAAGGUGAUUGGCGCAAGCUAACGCGUUAAGUGUCCCGCCUGGGGAGUACGGCCGCAAGGCUAAA
rnacentral:rRNA from 1 species